rnacentral:misc_RNA from 1 species
AGAGGUCAUACAUAGUCGUUGUCACCAGAGAAGUCAGAUGUCCGUGUCGCUCUAUGAUGGAGAAGGAAUGUUGAAGAUGUUAACAUUUCUUCCUUUACCCUAGUGUAUUAAAAACUUCAUAUACUACCAGAGCUAAGGAUGAGCACCUGGUGGUAGUGCAUUUGAUGGAUGCUGGAAUGGGUUUCUGGCAGCCAUAUUAUAGGAAUAGAACAGUGUUUAGAAAAAAAAAAGGUUAGAAUCAAAAUAUGAUUCUUUUAUAGUGUUAGUCCCGGCAUUUGGGUGUAGAGGUUAGUCUCUGGUGCCUUUUGUUGGAGUCCUGCAUUGUACUUAAAUCAUGUUUUUGGGUUUUGUGCAUAUUAGUAGUAGGGGUUUC